rnacentral:rRNA from 1 species
ACGGGAGGCAGCAGUAGGGAAUAUUGCACAAUGGAGGAAACUCUGAUGCAGCGACGCCGCGUGAGUGAUGAGGUAUUUCGGUAUGUAAAGCUCUUUAAGCAGGGAAGAUAAUGACGGUACCUGCAGAAUAAGCACCGGCUAAAUACGUGCCAGCAGCCGCGGUAAUACGUAUGGUGCAAGCGUUAUCCGGAUUUACUGGGUGUAAAGGGAGUGUAGGUGGUUUGGCAAGCCAGAAGUGAAAACCCGGGGCUCAAACCCGUGGAUUGCUUUUGGAACUGUUGGACUAGAGUGCAGGAGGGGUAAGCGGAAUUCCCAGUGUAGCGGUGAAAUGCGUAGAUAUUGGGAAGAACACCGGUGGCGAAGGCGGCUUACUGGACUGUAACUGACACUGAGGCUCGAAAGCGUGGGGAGCAAACAGGAUUAGAUACCCUGGUA